rnacentral:rRNA from 1 species
GACGAACGCUGGCGGCGUGCUUAACACAUGCAAGUCGAACGGAAAGGCCCUGCUUUUGUGGGGUGCUCGAGUGGCGAACGGGCGAGUAACACGUGAGUAACCUGCCCUUGACUUUGGGAUAACUUCAGGAAACUGGGGCUAAUACCGGAUAGGAGCUCCUGCUGCAUGGUGGGGGUUGGAAAGUUUCGGCGGUUGGGGAUGGACUCGCGGCUUAUCAGCUUGUUGGUGGGGUAGUGGCUUACCAAGGCUUUGACGGGUAGCCGGCCUGAGAGGGUGACCGGCCACAUUGGGACUGAGAUACGGCUCAGACUCCUACGGGAGGCAGCAGUGGGGAAUAUUGCACAAUGGGCGGAAGCCUGAUGCAGCAACGCCGCGUGCGGGAUGACGGCCUUCGGGUUGUAAACCGCUUUCGCCUGUGACGAAGCGUGAGUGACGGUAAUGGGUAAAGAAGCACCGGCUAACUACGUG